rnacentral:rRNA from 1 species
UUUAAUGAGAGUUUGAUCCUGGCUCAGGACGAACGCUGGCGGCGUGCCUAAUACAUGCAAGUAGAACGCUGAGGUUUGGUGUUUACACUAGACUGAUGAGUUGCGAACGGGUGAGUAACGCGUAGGUAACCUGCCUCAUAGCGGGGGAUAACUAUUGGAAACGAUAGCUAAUACCGCAUAAGAGUAAUUAACACAUGUUAGUUAUUUAAAAGGAGCAAUUGCUUCACUGUGAGAUGGACC